UUUCCUCGGGAUUCCCCGAUCCAAUCCAUCCACUUUACCCAACCGACCCGACCACCUCCCUCAUUUUCAGCGCUGGACAACCCACUAACUCCACCAAGGAAACCUCUCCAUCCAAUCUCGUGGGUGCCCGGGCCUCCUCCUCCUCGGGUCGGACGCGUCAAGGUGACUGAAGAACCGUCGUGCAACUGCAUCCGUCCCUCCGCAGCAUCCACGACCAAGGCCUGCCCGGGAGGAGCGCCCAAGUGUGCCCACACCGGCACCUUGCACCGGGCAGUCUUCGAGCUUGUGCCACUCUGCCAAGCCAUCCCCUGCUCCCUUAUCCCUCUCCUUCCUUUUCAUCUCCUUCCCGUGCCCUCUCCUUUCCUAGCUCCUCUCAAGCUCUCUCUCUCUCUCUCUCUCUUUCUUAUUUCACCAGGGAAACAACCAUGGUGCAACCCAUGAAGCUCCGCCUCCGGCCAGGUCCCGCGACCACGAGCGCCACCCCAGCUCCGACCUCCGCCAGCCCCGCCUUUAUCCUUUUUGUUCCCGCGCCAUCGGGCCACCUCCCCAAGCAGUGCCGCCGUUGUGUGCUUCAUCCCUGCCUCGACCCGGCCUCCCCUGCAACGAGUGAGUGAGCGUGUGGCUCCUUAAUCUCGCGCCAAGGAGCUGGCCUAGCUCCCUCCGCCCGCACCCAGCCAAGGUUCAGUAUCGCCAUGGCCAUUAGCGUCUUUUUCUGUGAUGUAAGCUAGUGCCGUCUUGGCUAAAACUCUGUUCUUUCCUUAGAUCCAUUUUCCCAUGUAGAUGCCAUUUAGUAUUGUUGUUGUAUUAUUGCACAAGUGCAUAGCUAAUCCUGUGGUUAGCAUCGCGCUCCCUCUAUCAGAGGGCUUUGGGGUUCGAAUCCUAGGUACCCCAAUCACAUCUGUUGCUCGGCUUUCCUGAGCACUGCAUUCGGCCAUAUGUAUUUUUUCGGUCCACUAUGAUUAAUCCAAUUCGAAUCCUAGGUACCCCAAUCACAUCUGUUGCUCGGCUUUCCUGAGCACUGCAUUCGGCCCAUAUGUAUUUUUUCGGUCCACUGUGAUUAAUCCAAUUCGAAUCCUAGGUACCCCAAUUUUUGCAAUGUUUUUCUUUUAUUGUGCAUACACACACUCCACCAUUUUGGGCCACAUCUGUUGCUCGGCUUUCCUGAGUACUGCAUUCGGCCCAUAUGUAUUUUUGCACAAGUGCAUAGCUAACCCUGUGGUUAGCAUCGCCCUCCCUCUAUCAGAGGGUUUGGGGUUCGAAUCCUAGGUACCCCAAUCACAUCUGUUGCUCGGCUUUCCUGAGCACUGCAUUCGGCCCAUAUGUAUUUUUUCGGUCCACUGUGAUUAAUCCAAUUCGAAUCCUAGGUACCCCAAUUUUUGCCAUGUUUUUCUUUUAUUGUGAAUACACACACACUCCACCAUUUUGGGCCACAUCUGUUGCUCGGCUUUCCUGAGUAUUGCAUUCGGCCCAUAUGUAUUUUUUCGGUCCACUGCGAUUAAUCCAAUUGUCGAGAAUUUUCUAUAUGUACAGAAUUUCAUGUUUUUGUAUUUCUCAUAAAUAAUUAACCAUGCAUAAAAUUUCAUGUAGAUUCACAAUAUCUAACUUUCAUCCAUGAUAUAAAAUGUUUAAACUUGUUGUUUGCAUUAAUUUACAUAAAUGUGAUGUUAAAUUGAUUUAUUUCAUGACUAAAUAACCAUAGCUUCGAAUCAAAUGUUCUAUAUAUGUAAUGUGACUAUCAAAAUGUGUAGAAUAACAUGGUGGCACUUCCUUUGCUAUUAUUGCACAAGUGCAUAGCUAACCCUGUGGUUAGCAUCGCCCUCCCUCUAUCAGAGGGCUUUGGGGUUCGAAUCCUAGGUACCCCAAUCACAUCUGUUGCUCGGCUUUCCUGAGCACUGCAUUCGGCCCAUAUGUAUUUUUUCGGUCCACUGUGAUUAAUCCAAUUCGAAUCCUAGGUACCCCAAUUUUUGCAAUGUUUUUCUUUUAUUGUGCAUACACACACUCCACCAUUUUGGGCCACAUCUGUUGCUCGGCUUUCCUGAGUACUGCAUUCAGCCCAUAUGUAUUUUUGCACAAGUGCAUAGCUAACCCUGUGGUUAGCAUCGCCCUCCCUCUAUCAGAGGGCUUCGGGGUUCGAAUCCUAGGUACCCCAAUCACAUCUGUUGCUCGGCUUUCCUGAGCACUGCAUUCGGCCCAUAUGUAUUUUUUCGGUCCACUGUGAUUAAUCCAAUUCGAAUCCUAGGUACCCCAAUUUUUGCCAUGUUUUUUCUUUUAUUGUGCAUACGCACA